rnacentral:SRP_RNA from 1 species
UCGAUGGGUUCGGGUGACGGCAUGUUCCGAACCUGGUCAGGGUCGGGAGACAGCAGCCAUAAGGAGCCUCUGUCGGGUAC